rnacentral:rRNA from 1 species
AUUGAACGCUGGCGGCAGGCUUAACACAUGCAAGUCGAGCGGGGUGAUGGUGCUUGCACUAUCACUUAGCGGCGGACGGGUGUGUAAUGCUUAGGAAUCUGCCUAUUAGUGGGGGACAACAUCUCGAAGGGGAUGCUAAUACCGCAUACGUCCUACGGGAGAAAGCAGGGGAUCACUUGUGACCUUGCGCUAAUAGAUGAGCCUAAGUCGGAUUAGCUAGUUGGUGGGGUAAAGGCCUACCAAGGCGACGAUCUGUAGCGGGUCUGAGAGGAUGAUCCGCCACACUGGGACUGAGACGCGGCCCAGACUCCUACGGGAGGCAGCAGUGGGGAAUAUUGGACAAUGGGGGGAACCCUGAUCCAGCCAUGCCGCGUGUGUGAAGAAGGCCUUAUGGUUGUAAAGCACUUUAAGCGAGGAGGAGGCUCUUUUGGUUAAUACCCAAGAUGAGUGGACGUUACUCGCAGAAUAAGCACCGGCUAACUCUGUGCCAGCCGCCGCGGUAA